rnacentral:piRNA from 1 species
UCAAGUGUCCUGUGAAAGCGAAAAGGAAA